UUCUAAUCAAUUCCUUGCAGGAUCCCAGUUCCUGGGUUGCAUUCCUGAAGUGAUUAGCACUGAUAAAAGUUUACUGAGCUUUUGCUAUGUGCCAGAUAUUAUGCUUAAGUAUUCUUUUUUAUUAGCUUUACUGGGACAGAAUUUACAAACCAUAAAACGGAUUCAUUAAAUGUAUACAAUUCAAAGAUUUUCAGAAAAUUUAUAGGAUUGGGCAGCCAUUAUCAAGAUCCAGUUUUAGAGUGUUCCAUCAUCUUCCAAAACUCCCUUAAAUCUGUUUGUAGUCAGUCUUCUAACCCACGUUCAGCUCCAGGAAAUCAUUGAUCUGCCUUCUGUCUCUACAAAUUAGUCUUUUCUAGGAAUUUCAUGUAAGUUGAAUCAUAAAAUAUAUAUUCUUUUGUAUCUGGUUUCUUUCCCUUGGUACAGUGUUUUUGAGAUUCAUCUAUGUGAUAGCAUGUAUCAGUAUUCCAUUCCUUUUUAUUGUUGAAUAG
rnacentral:lncRNA from 1 species